rnacentral:misc_RNA from 1 species
UUUCCGUAGGUGAACCUGCGGAAGGAUCAUUAAAGAACGCCCCGUUUUUUGAAAUGGGUAAUUCUAAACCGUGUAUACAUACCUUUGUUGCUUUGGCAGGCCGCCCCUCAGGGCGUCGGCUCCGGCUGACUGCGCCUGCCAGAGGACCCAAACUCUUUUGUUUAGUGAUGUCUGAGUACUAUAUAAUAGUUAGAACUUUCAACAACGGAUCUCUUGGUUCUG